GAUGAACGCUGGCGGCGUGCUUAACACAUGCAAGUCGAACGAAGAUGCCGGAGUGCUUGCACUUUGGCAGACUGAGUGGCGGACGGGUGAGUAACGCGUGGGUAACCUGCCUUAUACAGGGGGAUAACAGUUGGAAACGACUGCUAAUACCGCAUAAGCGCACGGUAUCGCAUGAUACAGUGUGAAAAACUCCGGUGGUAUAAGAUGGACCCGCGUCUGAUUAGCUUGUUGGUGAGGUAACGGCCCACCAAGGCGACGAUCAGUAGCCGGCCUGAGAGGGUGAACGGCCACAUUGGGACUGAGACACGGCCCAAAACUCCUACGGGAGCAGCAGUGGGGAAUAUUGCACAAUGGGGGAAACCCUGAUGCAGCGACGCCGCGUGAGUGAUGAAGUAUUUCGGUAUGUAAAACUCUAUCAGCAGGGAAGAUAAUGACGGUACCUGACUAAGAAGCACCGGCUAAAUACGUGCC
rnacentral:rRNA from 1 species